rnacentral:rRNA from 1 species
UACGAAGGGGGCUAGCGUUGCUCGGAAUCACUGGGCGUAAAGCGCACGUAGGCGGAUCGCUAAGUCAGGGGUGAAAUCCUGGAGCUCAACUCCAGAACUGCCUUUGAUACUGGCAAUCUCGAGUCCGGGAGAGGUGGGUGGAACUGCGAGUGUAGAGGUGAAAUUCGUAGAUAUUCGCAAGAACACCAGUGGCGAAGGCGGCUCACUGGCCCGGUACUGACGCUGAGGUGCGAAAGCGUGGG